UACGUAGGGGGCAAGCGUUGUCCGGAUUUAUUGGGCGUAAAGAGCGUGUAGGCGGCUAGGUAGGUGGGUUGUGAAAACUGGAGGCUCAACCUUCAGACGUCGACCCAAACCCCCUGGCUAGAGUCCGGGAGAGGGAUGCGGAAUUCCAGGUGUAGCGGUGAAAUGCGUAGAUAUGACAUAGAACACCAAUUGCGAAGGCAGCUGGCUACACAAAUAUUGACACUGAGGCACGAAAGCGUGGGGAUCAAACAGG
rnacentral:rRNA from 1 species